UAGAAGUUCCCCUCCGUUCGUGUUAAUAGCCGUGCCUUUGGCCGGGCCCGGUGGUUAGUGAAUC
rnacentral:ncRNA from 1 species